UUAAUAAACGCUUAUCGAGAAGUCAAGAUGGUUUGCUUCAGUCAUGAUGUAUCUUGCACAAUUGUUGGUGAUGGACUUAUAGGUAAAACAUGCAUGGCCAAAGCAUUUGCUGGUGACUCGUUCCCUGAUUGUUAUGUAGCUACUGUAGCCGAGAGCUAUACAGGUUAUGUAUCUGCUUACGGUGACCUGUACAGUGUGGAUAUAAAAGAUACAAAUGGUCAGCAUGAAGAUGAAAACACUCGAUCACAAAUGAUUUCUGAUACUGAUGUCAUUAUCGUCUGCUAUAGUGUAGUAGAGAGAGAAACUUUUAACAAUGUGCAGUCAUUCUGGAUACAAGAAAUUCGUAAAUUCAACAAAAGGAGGCCAGUUAUCUUAGUGGCAACCCAGAGUGACAUUCGUGAUGAAGAUAACAUUCAACAUGUUUCUGACUUAGAAGGACAACACAUGACCAAACUUAUCGGUGCUGAAUAUUAUAAUAAAUGUUCAGCUGCUGCACAAACCGGAAUGAAAAAUGUUUUAGAAAGUGUUGUUUUAGCUUCAAUUAAAUACAGAAAGAAGACAGCAAGCAUUUUAAAACGUGUUUUCGGACGAUGAACACGGAUUUAUCACAGCCAAGGGAUAAAAUACCAUAAAACGAUAUCCUUACGCGCAGCUCCUUUAACCUCGCUUUGAGAAAAGAUUAUCAAUUGAACCUGCAAUGUUCAACCGUUGUGCAUUCAUAGCACAAGUAAAAGGUGAGAAGAUACGAACUAUAUAUGUGUUAGGACAGUGUUUCAGAGCAAACUAGUUAACGUUGAUAAUAAACUCUAAGGUAAAUAACAGAACGUAUUAUAAAAUAAUGGGAUAUAAGAUAAAGGUGUUAGAAACAUGUGUUUAAUUAAAAAGAUUUGGAAAUACAGUAUUAAACUUCUGUCUUUCUAGAACUCCAGCAACGGACUGCCUAAUAAUAACAUCCGAAUAAGUUGUUUCCGGUCCGUGUGGGCUUGUAUUGUCAUGUUCAAUGUACAUGUAGAUUUUGCAACAAAGAUUAUUUAUACGUU